UGAUGAUAAUGAAUUCAUGAGGUUAUACGUGUUUCAACUAUGAGCUUCUGUAAAAUAUGUGACGUCUCUUCCACUUUCUCUACCUUUCUCCUACGCUUUUCCGGCUGGGUUAUAGUCUUUGGGUUUUACUUAGGGUUUGCUCAGUUGGAAUUUUACUUGGGGUUGAUGAUGUCUGCUCAGUCUUUUAUUUCAAUGGAAGAAGGAGACCCAACUCAAUUUUUCAAUUUCUGCAUAGAUUGGAUUCAUCUGUAAAGUGACUAUAUUUAAUGAAGACAAAAUUUAAACUGUCUGCUUGCCUUUUCA